rnacentral:rRNA from 1 species
CCUACGGGUGGCAGCAGUGAGGAAUAUUGGUCAAUGGACGAGAGUCUGAACCAGCCAAGUAGCGUGAAGGAUGACUGCCCUAUGGGUUGUAAACUUCUUUUAUAUGGGAAUAAAAUGUUCCACGUGUGGGAUUUUGUAUGUACCAUAUGAAUAAGAAUCGGCUAACUCCGUGCCAGCCGCCGCGGUAAUACGGAGGAUCCGAGCGUUAUCCGGAUUUAUUGGGUUUAAAGGGAGCGUAGGUGGAUGGUUAAGUCAGUUUGAAAAGUUUGCGGAUCAACCGUAAAAUUGCAGUUGAAACUGGCAGUCUUGAGUACAGUAGAGGUGGGCGGAAUUCGUGGUGUAGCGGUGAAAUGCUUAGAUAUCACGAAGAACUCCGAUUGCGAAGGCAGUUCACUGGACUGCAACUGACACUGAGGCUCGAAAGUGUGGGUAUCAAACAGGAUUAGAUACCCGUGUAGUC